rnacentral:rRNA from 1 species
ACGCUCGACACCUACGGAGGCAGCAGUGGGGAAUAUUGCACAAUGGGGGAAACCCUGAUGCAGCGACGCCGCGUGAAGGAAGAAGUAUCUCGGUAUGUAAACUUCUAUCAGCAGGGAAGAAAGUGACGGUACCUGACUAAGAAGCCCCGGCUAACUACGUGCCANCAGCCGCGGUAAUCUGAGCGGGCUGGCAAGGC